rnacentral:rRNA from 1 species
CACGCCGUAAACGAUGUCAACUAGCCGUUGGAGUCCUUGAGACUUUAGUGGCGCAGCUAACGCACUAAGUUGACCGCCUGGGGAGUACGGUCGCAAGAUUAAAACUCAAAUGAAUUGACGGGGGCCCGCACAAGCGGUGGAGCAUGUGGUUUAAUUCGAAGCAACGCGAAGAACCUUACCUGGCCUUGACAUGCUGAGAACUUUCCAGAGAUGGAUUGGUGCCUUCGGGAACUCAGACACAGGUGC